GACAGAGGGGGCAAGCGUUGCUCGGAAUCACUGGGCGUAAAGGGUGCGUAGGCGGGUCUUUAAGUCAGAGGUGAAAUCCUGGAGCUCAACUCCAGAACUGCCUUUGAUACUGAAGAUCUUGAGUUCGGGAGAGGUGAGUGGAACUGCGAGUGUAGAGGUGAAAUUCGUAGAUAUUCGCAAGAACACCAGUGGCGAAGGCGGCUCACUGGCCCGAUACUGACGCUGAGGCACGAAAGCGUGGGGAGCAAACAGG
rnacentral:rRNA from 1 species